GCGGAUGUGGCGGAAUUGGCAGACGCGCCAGACUUAGGAUCUGGUCCCUCUGGGGUUGAGGGUUCGAGUCCCUCCAUCCGCA
rnacentral:tRNA from 1 species